rnacentral:tRNA from 1 species
ACCUGGCUGGCUUAGUCAAUGGAGCAUGUGACUUUUGAUCUCAGGGUUGUGAGUUUGAGCCCCACGUUGGGUG